rnacentral:rRNA from 1 species
GCUGAGAUAGACAAGCAUCUCCCUUACACCGAGAAAACAUCCAUGCAAGUUGGAUCGCCCUGAGCUAUAAAUCUAGCUUAAACACAAUCAAAUUACAUCAUUAAAUAACCAUAUACCUAUAAAUAACUAAAACAUUUUACCACCUUAGUACGCGCGACAGAAAAGGACACCAUAGCCAUAACAAAAGUACCGCAAGGGAACGAUGAAAGAGAAAUGAAACAAAUCAUCAAAGCACAAAAAAGCAGAGAUCAAACCCCGUACCUUUUGCAUCAUGAUUUAGCAAGCGAGCCUGAGCAAAGCGUACUUUAGUUCAACACCCCGAAACUAAGUGAGCUACCCCGAAGCAGCCUAUUAAUUAGGGCUAACCCGUCUCUGUGGCAAAAGAGUGGGAGGACUUCCGGGUAGAGGUGACAAGCCUAACGAACCUAGUUAUAGCUGGUUGCCUAAGAAAUAAAUAGAAGUUUAGCCUCGCACUCCUUAACUCACAACAAACAAGAGCCCAAAGAAAAAUGCGAGAGUUAAUCAAAAGAGGUACAGCUCUUUUGAAACAGGACACAACCUCAACAGGUGAUUAAAGAUUAUAAUAAACAAGAAACUUACCCCAGU